GACAGAGGUGCCGAGCGUUAGGCGGAAUCACUGGGCUUAAAGCGUGUGUAGGCGGAUGGGUAAGUACCUUGUGAAAUCCCACGGCUCAACCGUGGAACUGCUCGGUAUACUGCUCGUCUUGAGCCAACUAGGGGCGACCGGAACAAACGGUGGAGCGGUGAAAUGCGUAGAUAUCGUUUGGAACGCCGAUGGUGAAAACAGGUCGCUGGGGUUGUGCUGGACGCUGAGACACGAAAGCCAGGGGAGCGAACGGG
rnacentral:rRNA from 1 species